UACGUAGGGUGCAAGCGUUAAUCGGAAUUACUGGGCGUAAAGCGUGCGCAGGCGGUUAUGCAAGACAGAUGUGAAAUCCCCGGGCUUAACCUGGGAACCGCAUUUGUGACUGCAUAGCUGGAGUACGGCAGAGGGGGAUGGAAUUCCGCGUGUAGCAGUGAAAUGCGUAGAUAUGCGGAGGAACACCGAUGGCGAAGGCAGUCCCCUGGGCCUGUACUGACGCUCAUGCACGAAAGCGUGGGGAGCAAGCAGG
rnacentral:rRNA from 1 species